CAGGCUUAACACAUGCAAGUCGAGGAGCAGCAUUUUAGUUUGCUUGCAAACUGAAGAUGGCGACCGGCGCACGGGUGAGUAACACGUAUCCAACCUGCCGAUAACUCCGGAAUAGCCUUUCGAAAGAAAGAUUAAUACCGGAUAGCAUACGAAUAUCGCAUGAUAUUUUUAUUAAAGAAUUUCGGUUAUCGAUGGGGAUGCGUUCCAUUAGUUUGUUGGCGGGGUAACGGCCCACCAAGACAACGAUGGAUAGGGGUUCUGAGAGGAAGGUCCCCCACAUUGGAACUGAGACACGGUCCAAACUCCUACGGGAGGCAGCAGUGAGGAAUAUUGGUCAAUGGGCGAGAGCCUGAACCAGCCAAGUAGCGUGAAGGAUGAAGGCUCUAUGGGUCGUAAACUUCUUUUAUAUGGGAAUAAAGUUUUCCACGUGUGGAAUUUUGUAUGUACCAUAUGAAUAAGGAUCGGCUAACUCCGUGCCAGCAGCCGCGGUAAUACGGAGGAUCCGAGCGUUAUCCGGAUUUAUUGGGUUUAAAGGGAGCGUAGGUGGAUUGUUAAGUCAGUUGUGAAAGUUUGCGGCUCAACCGUAAAAUUGCAGUUGAAACUGGCAGUCUUGAGUACAGUAGAGGUGGGCGGAAUUCGUGGUGUAGCGGUGAAAUGCUUAGAUAUCACGAAGAACUCCGAUUGCGAAGGCAGCUCACUAGACUGUCACUGACACUGAUGCUCGAAAGUGUGGGUAUCAAACAGGAUUAGAUACCCUGGUAGUCCACACAGUAAACGAUGAAUACUCGCUGUUUGCGAUAUACAGUAAGCGGCCAAGCGAAAGCAUUAAGUAUUCCACCUGGGGAGUACGCCGGCAACGGUGAAACUCAAAGGAAUUGACGGGGGCCCGCACAAGCGGAGGAACAUGUGGUUUAAUUCGAUGAUACGCGAGGAACCUUACCCGGGCUUAAAUUGCAACAGAAUAUAUUGGAAACAGUAUAGCCGUAAGGCUGUUGUGAAGGUGCUGCAUGGUUGUCGUCAGCUCGUGCCGUGAGGUGUCGGCUUAAGUGCCAUAACGAGCGCAACCCUUAUCUUUAGUUACUAACAGGUUAUGCUGAGGACUCUAGAGAGACUGCCGUCGUAAGAUGUGAGGAAGGUGGGGAUGACGUCAAAUCAGCACGGCCCUUACGUCCGGGGCUACACACGUGUUACAAUGGGGGGUACAGAAGGCGGCUACCUGGUGACAGGAUGCUAAUCCCAAAAACCUCUCUCAGUUCGGAUCGAAGUCUGCAACCCGACUUCGUGAAGCUGGAUUCGCUAGUAAUCGCGCAUCAGCCAUGGCGCGGUGAAUACGUUCCCGGGCCUUGUACACACCGCCCGUCAAGCCAUGAAAGCCGGGGGUACCUGAAGUACGUAACCGCAAGGAGCGUCCUAGGGUAAAACUGGUAAUUGGG
rnacentral:rRNA from 1 species